rnacentral:lncRNA from 1 species
GCAAUGUUUGGAAAGAUGCUGUAGCUUUGAAAAGAGCCCAGGCAUUGAAAUACUUGCAAUUUCUCAGACAGUGAAGAUUGAGACACAUGUGUGACCCAUCUUCUCUUACUCAGGUCUGGGGUCUAUAAAUACCCUGGAAGAGAAGGUAGUCCAUAGUUGAACCUCAAAGAACCAAAAGCCUACAACCUUGAGGAAUAGAAAAACUCGAAGGCAAUGAGAGGGAAAGCAAGUGGAGUGUGGAGCCCAAGAGUGUUUGGCCUGACUUGAUGGCUGGCCUUGGCAGAAGAAGGGGAAACUCUCACAAGGGCGUUUCCUUCUUGGAGUUGAAGCUGGGAUCAGAGCCCUCAAUUUGGAGCUUCAGGGCUUGUUUAAGGUUCAGCUCAGUCUCUGAGGGAGGGAACCCCUCCAGCACCUCCUGAUGCCCUCGCUCCUGCACUGUUUGAGAGACAGAGACCCUGCCCAGGAACACCUGGUUGAUCUGCAGAUGGAUGCCUUAAAGGAAGAAGAGGACCAGAUGAGUGCAACUGAAUGCUACUCAAGAAAAGGGAGCCUGAGAUCCAAGAAGGAUGUGCUGGGGUUAGCUAUGGCUACAAGAGUCUGUAUUGGUUUCAGAGAUGGAGCUGGGAAACUCUGCGUUGAGCAUGCAGCGAAAGAGCCUCAGGUCUGUGUAGUCCUGUCCCCUCACUCCGGCAAGAACCAUCUCCAACAUCGCUCCAGCUGCCUGCUCUGGUUGAUUUUUGAGCCACUAAAACCGUGGGCCCCUGGGACUAACACCCUGGGAAAAACUCUACCUCACUCCUUCUCCGUAUUUCAUUUGAAGUCUGGCAGAAGGACCAACUUGCAACACAAUAUGAGCCAGAAAACCCACUUAAUGCCCUUGGUUUCCCACGAGCUAGUGGCGGAGCACUCUCAUUUGCACAAAGUGCUAUGUAUCAAAAUAGGCCGUUGGAAAUAUUCCUGGCAGAUGGUGCUAAAUAUAGAGCCAGUGACAGAUUGGCCCCACCGAGAGGCUCCUCUCUUGCUUGUUAAGAGUGUGCCAGAGCCAAGAAGCCUUUCUUCUAGCUUCUCCUUCCCGGAAGACUGUGGCAAUGGCCCAAACCCAAGCAUGCACCAUGCUAAGACUGAGAGAAAGGAGCUGUACCUGACAGUGAGUCCCACAGUACCCUACUUGGGAGGAGGACCCUCCUCCCAAGUACUUCACUGA